AUGGUCUGUUAGAAUGUACUAAUGACUAUCUGUUUGAAAAAAUUACUUCAGUGGCCAAUCUUUUACUCUCACAAACAGACGAAACAAAGUGCAAAGUGCUAAUUGAAGGU